CUUGAUAAGCGUAAAAGCUUACUGAAAUUUGUAUGGAGUUGGAAAGUUUGCAUACGUUUGCCGCUAGGGGCGCUGUUCCAACUGCAUACAAAUUUGAGUUGACUUUUACGUGAUCGA
rnacentral:pre_miRNA from 9 species